rnacentral:rRNA from 1 species
UACGGGGGGAGCAAGCGUUGUUCGGAUUUACUGGGCGUAAAGGGCGCGUAGGCGGCCUCUGCAAGUCAGUUGUGAAAUCUCCGGGCUUAACUCGGAAAGGUCAACUGAUACUGCAGGGCUAGAGUGCGGAAGGGGCAACUGGAAUUCUCGGUGUAGCGGUGAAAUGCGUAGAUAUCGAGAGGAACACCUGCGGCGAAGGCGGGUUGCUGGGCCGACACUGACGCUGAAGCGCGAAAGCUAGGGGGGCGAACGGG